CAGUGAGCAGAGGGAUGACUUUGAGUGGAAUGGAGGCAGGUUUGCCUCCCAGCUUGACUUUUCUCUUUAACUUACUGAUUUUGGGGCCCCAAGAUUUAUUUUCCUUUCACAAUUCAUAUGAUAAACGGAGUGUUUUAUUCUCAGGGCCUAAACUGAAGCGUGAUCGUUUUUCUGCUAUUAUCUUCCUUUGGCCUUUUCUUUUCUCUGUAGAAGGAAGGAGACUUAUAUGCUCUUAUUUAUACCUAGUUCCUUUUUUUAGUUGGCUAAUUACAUACUUAAAAUAACUGGUUUCUAACAAAGUCUCGUGAGAUUUACAUCUUGUGUUUUUAGGGUCAUGAGUGAGAUAAUUGUCUUAGUUUGGCAGACACAUGGCUUUCAUUUGGUG